AACGAACGCUGGCGGCAGGCUUAACACAUGCAAGUCGAGCGCCCCGCAAGGGGAGCGGCAGACGGGUGAGUAACGCGUGGGAGUCUACCCAUCUCUACGGAAUAACGCAUGGAAACGUGUGCUAAUACCGUAUACGUCCUUCGGGAGAAAGAUUUAUCGGAGAUGGAUGAGCCCGCGUUGGAUUAGCUAGUUGGUGGGGUAAAGGCCUACCAAGGCGACGAUCCAUAGCUGGUCUGAGAGGAUGAUCAGACACACUGGGACUGAGACACGGCCCAGACUCCUACGGGAGGCAGCAGUGGGGAAUAUUGGACAAUGGGCGCAAGCCUGAUCCAGCCAUGCCGCGUGAGUGAUGAAGGCCCUAGGGUUGUAAAGCUCUUUCACCGGUGAAGAUAAUGACGGUAACCGGAGAAGAAGCCCCGGCUAACUUCGUGCCAGCAGCCGCCGUAAAAC
rnacentral:rRNA from 1 species